AUGCCACCCAUCCUAUGUGAGGUAGAGAGCCAUUUGGGUGACUCCACCAACCAGAUGAGUGAGAGCAUCUUGCCGGGAGUGAGUGAGUCACAACACUUAGUGACUAAGGUAGUUGAGAUGGCACGUGAGGCCACUAUGAUUUCUAACGAAUUAACCUCUACUCCGAGUGUGUUUUCUACUUUGGUGUUAGAUCUCCUACAAGAUGAAGCAUCAAUUCUUGAUGAGCCCAUACCUCCAAUGGGCAAAAUGAUGGCCAUGAUAGACGAUUAUGCACCCCCACAUGGUACCAUCAAGUUGAUGAAGCUAUUGAACAAGUGUUAG
rnacentral:rRNA from 1 species